rnacentral:rRNA from 1 species
GACGAACGCUGGCGGCGUGCUUAACACAUGCAAGUCGAACGGUAAGGCCCUUCGGGGUACACGAGUGGCGAACGGGUGAGUAACACGUGGGUGAUCUGCCCUGCACUUCGGGAUAAGCCUGGGAAACUGGGUCUAAUACCGGAUAGGACCACUGCCUGCAUGGGUGGUGGUGGAAAGCUUUUGCGGUGUGGGAUGGGCCCGCGGCCUAUCAGCUUGUUGGUGGGGUGAUGGCCUACCAAGGCGACGACGGGUAGCCGGCCUGAGAGGGUGACCGGCCACACGGGGACUGAGAUACGGCCCAGACUCCUACGGGAGGCAGCAGUGGGGAAGAUUGCACAAUGGGCGCAAGCCUGAAGCAGCGACGCCGCGUGAGGGAUGACGGCCUUCGGGUUGUAAACCUCUUUUAGCAGGGAAGAAGCGAAAGUGACGGUACCUGCAGAAAAAGCACCGGCUAACUACGUGCCAGCCGCCGCAGUAA